rnacentral:rRNA from 1 species
CGUAUCUACAGCUACCUACACAUGCAAGUCGAGCGGCAGCGACAACAUUGAACCUUCGGGGGAUUUGUUGGGCGGCGAGCGGCGGACGGGUGAGUAAUGCCUGGGAAUUGCCCUGAUGUGGGGGAUAACCAUUGGAAACGAUGGCUAAUACCGCAUGAUAGCUUCGGCUCAAAGAGGGGGACCUUCGGGCCUCUCGCGUCAGGAUAUGCCCAGGUGGGAUUAGCUAGUUGGUGAGGUAAGGGCUCACCAAGGCGACGAUCCCUAGCUGGUCUGAGAGGAUGAUCAGCCACACUGGAACUGAGACACGGUCCAGACUCCUACGGGAGGCAGCAGUGGGGAAUAUUGCACAAUGGGCGCAAGCCUGAUGCAGCCAUGCCGCGUGUAUGAAGAAGGCCUUCGGGUUGUAAAGUACUUUCAGCAGUGAGGAAGGAGGUAUCGUUAAUAGCGGUAUCUUUUGACGUUAGCUGCAGAAGAAGCACCGGCUAACUCCGUGCCAGCAGCCGCGGUAAUACGGAGGGUGCGAGCGUUAAUCGGAAUUACUGGGCGUAAAGCGCAUGCAGGUGGUUUGUUAAGUCAGAUGUGAAAGCCCGGGGGCUCAACCUCGGAAUUGCAUUUGAACCUGGCAGGCUAGAGUACUGUAGAGGGGGGUAGAAUUUCAAGUGUAGCGGUGAAAUGCGUAGAGAUCUGAAAGAAUACCGGUGGCGAGAGCGGCCCCCUGGACAGAUACUGACACUCAGAUGCGAAAGCGUGGGGAGCAAACAGGAUUAGAUCCCUGGUAGUCCACCCGUAAACGAUGUCUACCUGGAAGGUGUGGCCU